rnacentral:rRNA from 1 species
CUACGGGCGGCUGCAGUGGGGAAUAUUGCACAAUGGAGGAAACUCUGAUGCAGCAACGCCGCGUGGAGGAUGACACUUUUCGGAGCGUAAACUCCUUUUAUAUAUGAAGAAGAUGACGGUACUAUAUGAAUAAGCGCCGGCUAACUCCGUGCCAGCAGCCGCGGUAAUACGGAGGGCGCAAGCGUUACUCGGAAUCACUGGGCGUAAAGAGCAUGUAGGCGGGUAAAAAAGUUGGAAGUGAAAUCCACUGGCUUAACCAGUGAACUGCUUCCAAAACUCUUUGCCUAGAAUAUGGGAGAGGUAGAUGGAAUUUCUGGUGUAGGGGUAAAAUCCGUAGAGAUCAGAAGGAAUACCGAUUGCGAAGGCGAUCUACUGGAACAUUAUUGACGCUGAGAUGCGAAAGCGUGGGGAGCAAACAGGAUUAGAUACCCUAGUAGUC